CCUGACGCAGCGACGCCGCGUGAGGGAUGACGGCCUUCGGGUUGUAAACCUCUUUCAGCAGGGACGAAGCGCAAGUGACGGUACCUGCAGAAGAAGCACCGGCCAACUACGUGCCAGCAGCCGCGGUAAGACGUAGGGUGCGAGCGUUGUCCGGAUUUAUUGGGCGUAAAGAGCUCGUAGGCGGCUCGUCGCGUCGGUUGUGAAAACUCUAGGCUUAACCUGGAGCUUGCAACCGAUACGGGCGGGCUAGAGUUCGGUAGGGGAGACUGGAAUUCCUGGUGUAGCGGUGAAAUGCGCAGAUAUCAGGAGGAACACCGGUGGCGAAGGCGGGUCUCUGGGCCGAUACUGACGCUGAGGAGCGAAAGCGUGGGGAGCGAACAGGAUUAGAUACCCUGGUAGUCCACGCUGUAAACGGUGGGUGCUAGGUGUGGGGACCUCUCCAGGUCUCCGUGCCGCAGCUAACGCAUUAAGCACCCCGCCUGGGGAGUACGGCCGCAAGGCUAAAACUCAAAGGAAUUGACGGGGGCCCGCACAAGCGGCGGAGCAUGCGGAUUAAUUCGAUGCAACGCGAAGAACCUUACCUGGGUUUGACAUGUGCGCUAAAACCACAGAGAUGUGGUGUCCUUCGGGGG
rnacentral:rRNA from 1 species